GGUGCUUGCACCGGGUGGAUUAGUGGCGAACGGGUGAGUAUCACGUGAGUAACCUUCCCUUGACUCUGGGAUAAGCCUGGGAAACUGGGUCUAAUACCGGAUACGACCAGUCACCGCAUGGUGUGCUGGUGGAAAGCUUUAGCGGUUUUGGAUGGACUCGCGGCCUAUCAGCUUGACGGUGAGGUAAUGGCUCACCGUGGCGAUGACGGGUAGCCGGCCUGAGAGGGUGACCGGCCACACUGGGACUGAGACACGGCCCAGACUCCUACGGGAGGCAGCAGUGGGGAAUAUUGCACAAUGGGCGAAAGCCUGAUGCAGCGACGCCGCGUGUGGGAUGACGGCCUUCGGGUUGUAAACCACUUUCAGCAGGGAAGAAGCUUUUUGUGACGGUACCUGCAGAAGAAGCGCCGGCUAACUACGUGCCAGCAGCCGCGGUAAUACGUAGGGCGCGAGCGUUAUCCGGAAUUAUUGGGCGUAAAGAGCUCGUAGGCGGUUUGUCGCGUCUGCUGUGAAAGCCCGGGGCUCAACCCCGGGUGUGCAGUGGGUACGGGCAGACUAGAGUGCAGUAGGGGAGACUGGAAUUCCUGGUGUAGCGGUGAAAUGCGCAGAUAUCAGGAGGAACACCGAUGGCGAAGGCAGGUCUCUGGGCUGUUACUGACGCUGAGGAGCGAAAGCAUGGGGAGCGAACAGGAUUAGAUAC
rnacentral:rRNA from 1 species